rnacentral:lncRNA from 1 species
UGGGCGACAGAGAGAGACUCCAUCUCAAAAACAAAACAAAACAAAACAAAAAAAACAAAAAGUGAAGCCAACUCAAUUGUCUCAUAGAACUGAUCUUUACGGUGUUUUUAAAUAAACAUAGAAAUUGGCCCUCCCAGUCUUAAAACUUCAAAAACUUACAUUUGUCUUACCUCAGUUCCUUUCUCAGGAAUCCAAUCAUCAAGGCUCCCAGAUAGUAUCAAUGAACGGAAACUUACCAGAUCACGAUAUCUGGACAAUGAGAUGUCAGAUCCCCCUCAUCCAUCCUGAUUACCUAACUGACUACCUGCUUCCUGUUGGCCAACUACUCUUCCUUACCCCUCCCUAAUUCUUGUUUUCCCACAAAUGGUUACAUUUCUGUCCUGCUAUAGAAGCCCUUAAUUUUAAUUGGUCGAGGAGAUGGAUUUGAGACUGAUUUUUUGCUCUCCUUGGCUGUUGCACCUGAAUAGCCUUUUUCCCUGGCAAUACUUUUUGUCUCAGUGAUUGGCUUUCUGUGCAGUGAGCAAUGGGACCAAACUUCUGGUGUUUUGGUAACAAAUUUUGGUUUCCUGACUGUGAAUGCAUUGCUUGUGACUCAGCUGCCAUGAGCUGGGAGAGUUUCAAAAGCCCUCUAAGCAGCUACCUGACCAUUUUGGCCAGAGGUGGAUUUUCGUCUCUCCCCAUUUGGGCCCACUUCUGCCAACCCCAACCAUGUUCCUGAUUGCCUAGGAAGAACAGCCUUUGAAAUUUGACGUCUAUGUACAGAAAGAGUAAAAGACAAGCUUCUGUGGAAAGGGCAACAAACACUAUCACCCUCAGACCAGAGGUGAACAUCCUUUGCAGCAAGGUGAAAGAGAUACAAAACACCCUCUGCCCUUGAAGGAGAGACAGGAGACGCCUCUGUUGGCUUCUCUGCUGCUUAACAGAAGUCAUGAGAUGCCUGGGUAACUGACAAAGAACAAAGGACAGUAAUAGCAGUAGCCAGAGUAUCAGCAUAAUUUCCUCAUGCCUGUUCCCCAGACCCUGACAUUCAGAGGACCAGGUGACUCCUAUAGACACGUAAGGGUAUGGAAACUCCCUGACUUAGUUUUCAGCAUUCCAAGAAUUGCCCCGCAAGAAAAAAUGGCCAACACGAUAUCUGCCCACCUCUCGGUGGUUUCAGAGUCUCUGUGAUCUUGGCACCUUAAGUUCUAGCAGCUUCAGCCAGUCUCUAAUGCCUCAAAUCUAAACUUUUUCUAUUUUCCCUGUAUUUCACGUGGGUUUUCUUUUCCUUGAGUUGCUUGCAAGAUGCUUCAACUUAGCCACACCUGGAAUAUAUUACAUAUUUGUUUCUUGUUUAUUUUCCAUCUUCUUCUUUAGGAACGUAAGCUCUGUGAAGUUCGGUUACUUUGGCUUCUUCUCUAAUAAAUCCCCAGUGUCUUGAAAAGCACGUGGCAAUUGGUAGGCACUUAAUAAUGUUAAGUAAAUAGACAAUAGACAGCUGAGUUCACAUAGGUAAAAAAUAAUAAAACCACAAUUUAAAAAUUUUGUUUUCUAUCUUGAUGCCUACUGACAUAUAUAGUAGUUUCUACAUUUACCCGUAUCUCUGUUGGUACAUGUUUUCUUAGUAAAAAGAGUGCAUAUUUUUAGCACAUUGGUUUAUUAGUGCAUAUUUAUGUCUUUAGCUAUAAUCAAGAGGAGAUGUAUGAAUGUUCUUUGAGUUUAGAAAGAGUUACUUUAUUCUCUAGGACCCCAAAAAGGUGUAAACAAACAGAUUAUUUUAUGCACACAUCUGAUUCUUUCCUUUCUUGUAGAGUCCUUUCAAGUCUCUGCAGCUUCAAGCUUGCUGACUUCUUUGAUCAAAAACUGCACUCAUUUUGGAACCAGUUAAAAGGUUGUGUUUUAUAGGAAGUCUUUUAAGAGUUUUUUUCCAGGUGACUCAGUUACUCUCAUCUCUGUGUCGGUUCUUCUGUUAUAGAACUUAUUAUAUUGCCUUUUAGUUAUUUGUUUACAUGUCUGGGUUUCCACCUAAUUACUGAGCUCGUUACAUAAAUAUCUUUGUAUCCUUAGUACCUAGCACACAGCCAGGCGCAUAGAAGUAUCUUAGAAAAUAUUGGCUGGAUGCAUUAUUAAGCUAAGAAUGUUGUCUAGCUUGGGAGUAUGUACAUUUUCAAAAGAUGACAACGAAAUGACACUUUCUAAUUUUGGGAUUUUAGUUAGCAAUUCUCUGUGUAUAAGAGCUAUUGGGAUAGCAGAGAGGCCUUCUCAGAACCACUGGACUCUAUUAUUCUGUUUAUUCCUGAACUUACAAACUUUAAAUAUCUUUUUAUAGCUGAUAAUUCUAUGAAUCAGCCUUAACAUUCAGAGGUGGGGCAAAUGGUGUCAUGUAGGUGGUGUAAUUUAAAGGAAACCAGUAAGAUUUUCCUUCCUCUAAAUUUCCUUUAUUUGUGUUUGAGAUUCCAUAUAUCUAUUGCCUUGUUUUAGCUCUGCAGUCAUGCUGUAGACUAAUCUUAAAACAGAAAUCUGUAGAGACAUGCAUUAAUUUAUUAACCAGAUCAUUUAUCUUCAUGGUAGGAGAAAUCUGGAGAGGCAGGAGCUCUGUAUACCUGGAGAAAGGUAGGAACGACAGGAAGGGAAGAGCAGAGAAAGCAAGGAUGAUAAUUAGGGACGCCAAAGACCAAAUGUGAGUUAUUGACACCUCUGUCAAAAUUUAAUCUUCCCUUGAGGUGGUAUUUUUAUAUAAUAUUGUCCUAACCUGCCAAAAGAGGUGAUGCAAAUAGUACUAUAAACAUCUUUGUGUUUAUUUAGUGGAAUAUUAUAUGUAUUAUAUUAUGAUCCAGAUGGGGAAAAGAUUAGGGUUUCAAAAAGCAUAUAAAGGCCACUUAGUAACAAAUUUACAGAGAUGAAAAUAUCCCAGUGUUUUCUGUUUCUCAUUUAACUAUUCAAAUCACAUAUGAAGAUAGCUGUUUUAUCCUAUUUUUGCUCUUUUUACCACCACAUGGUAAUAAUUAAAAGACCUUUACUAUAAAUCACCCAGUUGUCUAUAGAUUUUGGGUUGCUUUUCAUAGGUUGAUGACAAUGUAAGUGCCUUGGACUGUAAGUACUACCAUUUGGCAUAAUCUUGCUCUAUACUUGCAAAAUAAUAUUCUUUUAUUAUAGAAAUGGACUACUGUCUCUCACCAGCAAUCUUUAAAGGAUACAGAUACAGGUAAAAAGAUGGUGACUCAAGGCUUAGAUAAGUUGGCCACCACCCACAUUCAUAUCUAUAAGCCUUUUCUCUGUAUACGCUUAGAAUAUGGAGCUAUGUUUUCUAUGUAUGUGAUAUAAUUAAGUAACCCUAAGCUUCUAUGAAAAAAAUACAUUUUUGCUUUGAAGAAUUUAUCUAACAGGGGACUCAGCAUCUGGAGGGAGUAAGUUAUAACCAACCCAAGAAUUUUUUUGUCAGUUCUUCUGCCCUCAUCUCCCCCAAUAAUAUAUAGAACUUGAACCCAUUUCUAUCCUUACCCAGUCUCUUUGUCUUCCUGGUGGAACACUAAGGAGCUCACAGUUCUCACUUCUAGGAGACAAAAGUAUCCAGGGAUUUGAAGCACAGAAUCCAGACUUUGUCUCUUAAUAACUGUAAUCUUGGUCAAGAUAUCUAAUCCCCAGAUUCCAUCUGCUCAUCUGUUAAAGUGAGGUUUAAAAACAGUACCUACCUAUAGGGUUGUAGUGAGGGUUAAAUAAGAUAAGGCACACAAAGCACAAUGCUGGAAAACAACAAACAUUUCAUAAAUAAUAGUUGCUAUUAUUCUUAUAGUUAGUGUAAUAGUAUUCCCCCUUCAUGCCCCUCAUGUUUCCAUGAAGGGGAGAGAAUUACUACUUCACUCUCUAGAAAAAAUUACAGUGGGUUGGGGAGAGAACCUCUAUCCUUUCUCUUUUUAUUCCUACCCAUGGGUGGGAGAGUGAAUAAUUUUAUUUGGAACAUGGAAGUCCUAAUGUGUCAAUUUCAGCUCCUUAUCACUUCCCAGAUAUAAUUUGUCCACAGCACAUACAAUUCAGGUGUUCCUUUCACCAAGCCUGCCUCAAUAGACAAGGCUUGUGGUUAUCCAGAUAUGCCAAUGUCUGGUUUAGGAUAAAGCCUAAACAAGCCACUUUAACUACAGAUCUUGAGCUAUAUUCUGCAAUAAGCUUUAUCAGUAGUGUGAUCAUUUUAUAUCCAUGUGUCCAACUUUCCUUUCUUCCUAUUUGUUUUACAGUUGAAUGAGGAAGGUAAAAAGGGCUGUUUAUUUGCUUUCCUGUCCCCCCAAGUUUUUGUUCUCUAAAUCAUUGCUGUGUCCUUGGGUGCUCUUAACUGCAAUUAUCACCAUGGAAUUCCUUUAUAUUUUGAGCCUUAGGCAGUUUUCUCCAUCUGCUGGCUGUGCACUUGCCAGGCAGUGGCCAUUGCCCUUAUUGAACUGGUUCCACAAAUGCCUUUGGCCUGCUCCCAUCACAGCUGCUGAGCUGAUGUGAGAGAUGGUGCUGCCUUAGACACUUUCUCAGUGUUUGUUCCUGCCACUUCCACUGUUGCCAUGGCAGACAUAGGUGCCUUCUCCAGAAGCAGUUAGUAUCUUCUAGUCCUGUGCACCCUGUCUGGGCCUCUGGCGCUCUCCUCUGCAACAGAAGUAAGACACUUCUCCAAAUAUUUAGGACACGCAUUGUGUUGAAUCUACCCACAUUGUGAGAAACGUCACUUUUCUAUUCCCAUGCACAUUUCCCCCCCAUUGGAAGCACAGAUUUUCUCCUUAGAAGCACUCCCAUUAUAGAGUAUGCACCCUUAAUUCUUUCCUUUUGGGUAUCUUCUCCCCUAUAGUAAGAAGAAACCUUCCUUCUAGAUUUAGCUGACAGCUGCUGAAACGAAUACCCUGAUCAAGGAUUGUGAGGCCGGAAGCAAAGGCAUAUUGUCAGUCACGCAGGAAUUUUUUGGCCCAUGUUUUGUGCAAACAGCUGCUGCAUUUUCAAUUUUGAACUUGGCAGACCUUAUUUUAAAUCUGCUUUGCCAAAAACUGUGGCUCUUUUGCCUUAUUUUUCUUUUCUCCCAAUUGGAAAAAAAGAAAGGGUCAAAUAGAGAGCUAAAGUGGGGUCAAUAUGGAGUUGAAUCUCUAGCAAAUGCUACUAUGUAUUUAUCAGCAUCACAUAUUUUGGGGGUAUUUGUGUGGCCAGUCCAUUUAGGUAUGUAUGUAUGUAGGUAUGUGUGUAGGUAUGUAUGGAGCAAAUAAAUCAUAGGCAACCAUGAAAUUUAUGGUUUGUUAUGGUUUUCUAAUGUCUGAGGAGAUUUCUGGUCUAGUAAAAUGCAUAUAUAUAAGUUCCCUUGCAACCCUGUAAUGGUGUUUAUUUCUUUUCCUAAGAUUUCUUAUAUCAAAUAUUCUUCUUGAAAUCAUUCGCCACCAGUUGGUUUUAAAAAGUCAGGAAGAUAAUUUAUGACACAUGAGACUCAAAAGUCUCCAUUUUUUUGUUGUUGCUAUUCAAUGGUUCCUAAUUUCCUACAGAAUAAAUUUCUAACCUUUAUCUGGGUAUAAAGGGAAUGCCUUUCAAUACCCGGCAUGAAACUCUUUCCACCUUGCAUCCUGGAGCACCUCUUUCUUGCCUCCUCCUUAACUUCUUUGUCAUCUUCCUGUUUCCUGGUGCCCAUAAUUCUAACUGAGUGAUUUUUGGGGGGGAACAUGUCAUGCACUUUUAUGCCUCUGAGAAUUUCUUCAUGAUAUUUGCAUCAGAUUUUACUUUAAAUUUUUUUUUCUUUCCCUUGCCUGCUUGGAGAAUUCAUACUCAUCCUUCAGGACCCAACACAAACAAUACCUUUAUAAAGUCGUUAAGUUAAUUGUUCAAUAUUUCUUUGUUUGAAUGUUUGCCUUAUCAACUAGUGAGCUCUGCAAGGGUGAGAUAUAAACUUAUUCACCAAGUUCCUUCCCAGCACUUAUGCUUAUUGUAUUGGGGUGGAAAGAGGAAGAGGAAACAGACAUCUGUCUUCUUAUAUGACUGCCUGCUAUGGCAUCACUUUUCCUAUUUGUUAUUACCACAGGUACAAACUGUUGCCUAAGGAUACAGGGUGUGUGGCUGGUGGCCUCAACAGGCCCCACGGCUCAGGCACUCAGACCCAAGCUGGUCCCUCAGCCCAUAUUACUAAAUGCCUGACUUCAGAAAAAAAACGUAAACAAAAGACAGAGAUUGGAAGCAUCAGAAUUUUAUUCCAGUGACUCAAUCCCCAUUGUGUGAAGUAGACCAGAAUGAAUAAAUUGAACUUACUCAGCACCUCAAUUAUUAAAUGUAUCCACAGAAAUUCAUUCUGUCAAGUUAACUGUGGAGGUUGUUGUUGCUAUUGCAGACUAAAUGGUUUUCCUGGGAACUCUGACUCUGGCCACAAGAUCAAGACUGACAAAUUUCCUUUCUCUGUUUAUGGAGGGAGACUUCACAACAUUCACUGAAAGAGGAGCAAAGGACCUGGUUUUUGCCAUGACUGGCUUUGGCCCCGUGAAUGAAUGUUUUUCUGGCAUUGGAAAGCGGAUAGCAAAGAGAGCAGAACCACAAAUGGGCUAUGAGGAAAUGUGUUCAAUGAAGAAAACAAAAUCUCUGACAAGAUCCAACAUAGGACAACAUCUCAGCAUCUUCUGUGAUUUGUGAACCCAAGUAAAGCACUUCUUAGAGUUAUCUGGCACAUUCGCAACUAAUAGCUUUCUGUGAAUAAAUACUGUGGCAACC